rnacentral:ncRNA from 17 species
ACAGUACAAUCUGAUCAGGCGAUGAAUGCGAAUUCAUGGUGCCGGGCUGCUUCAAAUAGCGGCAGUGGGUGAGUGAUACACACAUCUACGGGACAGUA